rnacentral:rRNA from 1 species
UACGUAGGGUGCAAGCGUUAAUCGGAAUUACUGGGCGUAAAGCGUGCGCAGGCGGUGAUGUAAGACAGUUGUGAAAUCCCCGGGCUCAACCUGGGAACUGCAUCUGUGACUGCAUCGCUGGAGUGCGGCAGAGGGGGAUGGAAUUCCGCGUGUAGCAGUGAAAUGCGUAGAUAUGCGGAGGAACACCGAUGGCGAAGGCAAUCCCCUGGGCCAACACUGACGCUCAUGCACGAAAGCGUGGGGAGCAAACAGG